CUAUUCUGGGGAGACGGGAAACGUUACACAGCUUCCGUGUUCACACCUGUCCUAGUCUAGACUCCAGUUUUUUUUCCCAGGUGCUAAAGUCCUUACAGGAAGAAAUGAAAAAGACAUUCUGAAAUCCAAGUGUUGCCAUCAGGGUAAAAUGGAUGAACAUGUCUAGAAGGCUGGCUUCCUUCAACAGGCAAUAUUGUACAGUGAGUGACGGUGCCAUGCUCUUGAUUCCCUGAAGCUCCACAGAUGCACUGCCCCUCCCCUUAAAUGCUGCAGGAGGAGGAUUCUGGCCAGGACCAAGCUUGUUUGACUUUUCAGGGAUACUACUGGGGACUUCCAAACUUACUGCUCCCUCUUCCAGGCUUGGAAGUGUUUCUGACUUAGGUCCAGCUGCUGGUCCUGCCAUGUACCAUUUGUGAGAUAUGGGUGUCUCACCUCUGUUUUCUGGGUCUUGUUUUCCCUAGAUGUAAAUGAUGACAGGUAUGAUAAUUUCCACCAUAUAGGACUAAAUAAGAAGAGCUAAGAGUUGCUUUGUUAAUUAGCUAACAGUUAACAAGUGCUUGAUUCUCAGUAAUUUUGGAGAUGUGGGCUUAUUUAAUCAAUAGUCUAAUGAGUUUACUAUUUGCCUCAUUUUAUACAAGAGGAAACUGAAGGUUAAACCACUCAGCAUGUAAGUAGAAGGGCUGGGAUUUAGCUCCAGAUCUCUGAUUUAGCUACUGGAAUCACAGAGAUAGGCUUAAUAAGUAUUUGGAGGCCAGGGAAGGGUGUCACAUGAUAGACCUCCCACAAAGAGCUUUAUUUAUUUAUUUAUUUAUUGUCUUUUUUGUCUUUUUGCCUUUUCUAGGGCCGCUUCUCAUGCUAGGGGUUCCCAGGCUAGGGGUGCAAUCAGAGCUGUAGUCACCGGCCUACGCCAGAGCCAUAGCAACUCGGGAUCCAAGCCGCAUCUGCAACCUACACCACAGCUCAUGGCAACGCCGGGAACUCCUGAUUUAUAUUUUUCUAACAACUCUCCUGGGGAGCAAGAAAUCAGCAAGCUCAGAUUUAUUGCUCUCGUAUCUUAAUCUUGAUUAAAGUGGUGCCUCAAGUCAGAAACACAAGCAUUUUGGGUCACUCAAGUGGAUAUCUCCAGUAUGACUGUAAAUGUGGCCUAUUUCAUGUAUGAGCUUUCCUUCUGAGAGUAUGGAAGUGUGGUAGUUCCCAGGCAGAAAAUGACUAUGCAACCACAGCCAAUAAAAUCCUUGGGCACCAAGGCUUUAACAGACUUUCUGGGCAGAAACAUCACAUACACGAUUGCAUUCUUCACUGCUAGAGAAAAGAUCACGCUUGAUGUGUGCCUCAGAGGAGGGAAAGAGUAUAGGAAGCCUGCCUGGAUUUCUCCAGACUUCACCUGUGUCCUUUUCCUCUGAGGAUCCUAUUGUGUAUCCUUUUACUGUAAUAAACCUGAGCUGUGAGUGCAACUAU
rnacentral:lncRNA from 9 species